AACAGCAACACCCACAAUCCCACAGCCAGGCACUACAACGCAGACAACACCAAGACUACCAACAGCACCACCGGGGACGACCUCAGGUCCACUUCCUCCUAGACCCUCAACCCCACUGCCUAACAUCACGACGCAGACAACACCAAGACUACCAACAGCACCACCGGGGACGACCUCAGGGACCUGUGUGGUGGAAGGAGACCCUCACUACCACACAUUUGACAAACAGCUACAC